rnacentral:rRNA from 1 species
UACGUAGGGGGCAAGCGUUGUUCGGAAUUACUGGGCGUAAAGGGCGCGUAGGCGGCACAGCAAGUCGGGAGUGAAAGCCCGGGGCUCAACCCCGGAACUGCUUUCGAAACUGCUGAGCUAGAGUACAGAAGGGGCAACCGGAAUUCCCAGUGUAGCGGUGAAAUGCGUAGAUAUUGGGAAGAACACCUGAGGCGAAGGCGGGUUGCUGGGACGGUACUGACGCUGAGACGCGAAAGCGUGGGGAGCAAACAGGG